rnacentral:lncRNA from 1 species
UUAUACUGAAUUAAUAUGUGCAGUAUAUUAUUUAUUAAAUUUCUUAGACUGAAGAUUACCUUUAUAAAACUUGUUUAAUUAUUUUUUGAUUCUUUUAAAAAUAAGAUAUAAUUUUUGUAAGAAGUAAUGUAAAUUUUUUAAAAUAUAAUGUAAUUCGUUUAAAAAUUAUAAUUUAAUUUAACUUAUUAAAAUAUAUUCAAUAUAUAUAUUGUGCCCCAUUUUAUAUCAUUUUUUAGAUCCUCCCCUGGGUGAAACAUCAGACCAGUUGCCUUCAUCAAUAUCAUGAACCUUCAUCUGAGUUUCAUUUACUAUAGCCACAUCUAACAGUUGUUGUUGGGCCUCCGUUUCCUUUUCGGCCUCUUUUCCACCUUCACUACCUCCCUCCCUCACCUCUUCUCCACCGUUUGCGUCCUCACC